AGAAUCGGAUAUCUGUUGAACUUCAGAAUUAUUUACAUUUCUUCAGAAGAGUUCUCACCAACAGCAGAAGAAUAACAUGAAGACGUAUGUGUUGUCAUAUGAACCAUGUAUGAUGGAGCUGGAAGAGGGUCCAAAGAGCUCAUCCGUCCAGUCCUCUGUGUCCCCCUGGAUGACUGUCUCAACUGCUUGAGCUGCAACGCAUGGUCCUAAGAAUCCACACCUGGGCUGAGGCACUUGCGAACAGAUACCCGGCAGUCAGACACUCAACUCCACCCCUGCCAUUCCGUCUCAAGAGAGACCGUACUUCUGAGAUGCACUUAGAGUGGCUGAGUCUCCAGAAUUGCUGGUGAAUCCUCUGGAUGACAAACCAUGUUCCAGCAGUCCCUGAGGCCAGAUUGACCUUUAGUCAUGGAAGUGCUGAGCCCUAAUGAUUGAGAUCCCCACCUAUAAAAUGCCAGAUGGAAUCUGCAAAGGGCGGCGUCACGGGGACUCCAGCAGCAGCAGUAGCAGGAGCAGCAAUAGAGGCCGAAGCAGAAGCCGAAAGAGAAGCAGAGAAGCAGCAGAACGAACGCUAGAGAGCCCAGAUAGAGUGAAGACUUGCUGGGGGCUGGGAGGCCUGCCAGCCUGCCAGCCUCCCAGCCAGCACCCCUGCCUGCCAUAUGCCUGGUGAACCCCAAAUAAAAAACCUGCAAAACUACUGAGGACU